AACACACACACACACACACACGCACACACGUGCCCCCUUCUUUCAAGCACACGUAUCAUGUGCACCCGCUCCCUUCAUCUACGCGGGGCGUGAAAAAGGAAAGCGGUGCCGAAUGAAUUGUCCUAGAAACAGAGGGAAGUAAAGCUGAAGAUAAAGAUACAUACAUAUGGGUAUAUGUAUGUAUAGAUGUGUGUGUGUGUGUGAGCAAGGGGGCGCCUGUAUUACUCUUGCUGCUCUGCAUAUCUCUUCUCUCAUGACAAGAAACACCUCUGCAUAGUAUUCGAGACCAGUGCCCUCACUCUGUGUGGGGAAGCCAAGCAGCCCCCCUCCCCUUCUCCUUCUUCUAUCCUCUAAUAAUGCAGAACCAGCUCUGGUGGCUACAGGGUCGUGCACCUACCUACGUGGGGAGAAGUUCCGAUCGAUGUAUCACUGCUGAUGUCGGUGGUCAGGUCGUACAUUGAAGUUGCGUCGGGGCGAGCUGCUACAUUCAAUACGUCGGUGUCGCCCAUGUGAUGGGCAGCGUGCCAGCGUGACUCGAGCGUAUUCCAAACCCGGGCCUUUCAGUGCCAGCUGGUGCGGGGAGCCUGCGCCACUCCUGGAGAUGCACCAGGUGGCGACCGGCUUACAGGGAGCGGCCGCGAGGCGAGACAUGCAAGGAGGGCGAGUGGGUAGCGUUUGAGGCGCAGGCCGUGCUCAGAUGACUGAGUCGGCGCGUUGCUGGAGUGCGUGUGUCUAGCGCUGCUUCGCAGCACGCGAUAUGGGGGCCUGUGGCAGCCCGGCGUGCAGCGAAGCACAUCUCAUGUGGCAGGAGGGGCGCGCUGAGCAACGACAAAGUGCAUCGCUUUACUCCUCUUUCCCUCCCCCUCCCCUCUCUUUCUCCAUUACUACUUGAAACGCCCACUUCACAUCCACGCACCUUCGCCCGCCAUCCACCGCCGUCUGCGGCUUCAUCAUUUUUGUGUGUGCUGCGCGUGUUCUGUGGCCCCUUUCUUUCUUCACAAUCCCAG
rnacentral:misc_RNA from 1 species